CAGCAGCCGCGGUAAUACGUAGGGUGCGAGCGUUAAUCGGAAUUACUGGGCGUAAAGCGUGCGUAGGCGGUUCGUUAAGUCUGUUGUGAAAGCCCCGGGCUCAACCUGGGAAUGGCAAUGGAUACUGGCGAGCUAGAGUGUGUCAGAGGAUGGUGGAAUUCCCGGUGUAGCGGUGAAAUGCGUAGAGAUCGGGAGGAACAUCAGUGGCGAAGGCGGCCAUCUGGGACAACACUGACGCUGAGGCACGAAAGCGUGGGGAGCGAACAGGAUUAGAUACCCCCGUAGUCCCUGUCUCUUAUAC
rnacentral:rRNA from 1 species